rnacentral:snRNA from 1 species
AUCGCUUCUCGGCCCUUGGCUAAGAUCAAAGUGUAGUAUCUGUUCUUAUCAGCUUAAUAUCUGAUACGCCCCGCAUGCGGGGCCAGUAUAUUAAACUUAUUUUUGGAGUUUGAUGGAGGGUUAGGGGCUUGCUCCUCCUCCGUCGCGGGUUGGCCCGGCAUUGCAGUACCGCCGGGAUCGGCCCAUUUUAA